rnacentral:tRNA from 2 species
CGGCAUGUAGCGCAGCCUGGUAGCGCACCGUCAUGGGGUGUCGGGGGUCGGAGGUUCGAAUCCUCUCGUGCCGACCA